rnacentral:rRNA from 1 species
AGAGUUUGAUCCUGGCUCAGAUUGAACGCUGGCGGCAUGCCUUACACAUGCAAGUCGAACGGCGGCGCGGACUCCGGUCUGGCGGCGAGUGGCGAACGGGUGAGUAAUACAUCGGAACGUACCCUGUUGUGGGGGAUAACUAGUCGAAAGAUUAGCUAAUACCGCAUACGACCUGAGGGUGAAAGUGGGGGACCGCAAGGCCUCACGCAGCAGGAGCGGCCGAUGUCUGGUUAGCUAGUUGGUGGGGUAAAGGCCCACCAAGGCGACGAUCAGUAGCUGGUCUGAGAGGACGAUCAGCCACACUGGGACUGAGACACGGCCCAGACUCCUACGGGAGGCAGCAGUGGGGAAUUUUGGACAAUGGGGGCAACCCUGAUCCAGCAAUGCCGCGUGUGUGAAGAAGGCCUUCGGGUUGUAAAGCACUUUUGUCCGGAAAGAAAUCGCGCUGGUUAAUACCUGGCGUGGAUGACGGUACCGGAAGAAUAAGCACCGGCUAACUACGUGCCAGCAGCCGCGGUAAUACGUAGGGUGCGAGCGU